UUUCCGUAGGUGAACCUGCGGAAGGAUCAUUAUUGGAUUUUGAAACUUCAGGCUGCUGCUGGCUCUACCCGGAGGGCAUGUGCACGCUUGUUGUCCAUUAUUUCUCCCACUGUGCACAAAUUGUAGACCUUUCAGUAGGCCUAUGUUGUUUUUCACAAUCUCUGAAUGUAAUAGAAUGGUUUUGAAUCUUGGGAAAUACAAUACAACUUUCAGCAACGGAUCUCUUGGCUCUC
rnacentral:misc_RNA from 1 species